UUUGGUGUUUUGAACAUUUUUCUGAUGAUGGGAAUCAACAAUAAAAAAAAAUUAAGAAAAGCGAAGAAAAAAUCCCAUGUGCUGUAUUUUACAAAGUAAAAGUAAUGCUGAUCGCUGUUUACGGGUCAAAUUUGCAAUCUGCUGCUUCUUUUGACGCACGUCUAACGUUUGUCUAAGAAUGUGUUGAUAAACUAGGAGCUCCUGUCGUGUGUGGGAGGAGCUACCGUCCAGGUUUUAGCCUCAUCGCUACAUGGAAGCAUUGACUGUAAAUCUCAGUCAAAAUGUACGGAAGACAAGGAUGCUAAGAUCAGGAGCGGCAUCUGAAUAACGGGAAGUCUGAGGAAGGGAAAAAUAAAAACAAAGAAGGAUAAUGUGUCGACGCAAAUAAGAAAAACGUAAAGUUCAGGAGGAGAAAAGUCUGAUCUUAAUUGUUUUGGACUUCUUCUGCAUUGCUGUCAGUAGCAAAUACUGAUGCACACACCUACAGCGCCCUCUAGUCAGUAGGAAACAACUGCUAAAGGGCAUCAGUGGAGCCAAAAUAUGUUUGAAAAAAA